rnacentral:lncRNA from 1 species
GUGGUGUUCGUGAUCAAGUGUUUGAAAGUACUAAUCUCAUACCUAGUAUGGGAUGGGGAAGCCUAGUACCUGAUCGAACUAGGGCGUGGCUUAUACCCCUGCUGUCCCUGGAACGAGGUUCCCAUGGUGCAUCAUGUGGGUGCAAGUGCGGUCAUAGUACGGUAGAGGCCGGGACUGUGGAGCAUUGCAUGCUAAGGGAAGUUUGGACCUGACACGCGCCUGGGAAUUGAUUGGGACGGCCGACACAGGAAGCGGCCCUUGUGGUGCGCGGAUGUCGUGAGAUUAGGUUCGCCAUGCAUGGUUAAGAAACUCGAAUCCAUUCAUCUGCCUCUCACAGUUUGAGACUGCUUGAUCGCUAUGUCACCCUGAGUAAAUAAGGAAUCUGAUGAUGACAUGGUCUUGUUGAUGAUGUAUAUACCUUUGGUUGGUUCUUGGUUGCUUAGAAUAGGUUGCAAACUUAGACCGGAUAAUGAACUUAGAACCGGAGCUAAAACUUGAAAGUAGGGAUACACCUAGCGCUUU